rnacentral:rRNA from 1 species
UACAGAGGUGGCAAGCGUUGUUCGGAAUUACUGGGCGUAAAGGGCGCGUAGGCGGUUCGUUAAGUCCUGUGUGAAAUCCCCCGGCUCAACUGGGGAACUGCACAGGAAACUAGCGGGCUUGAGUUCGGGAGAGGGAAGCGGAAUUCCGGGUGUAGCGGUGAAAUGCGUAGAUAUCCGGAGGAACACCGGUGGCGAAGGCGGCUUCCCGGACCGACACUGACGCUGAGGCGCGAAAGCUAGGGGAGCAAACGGG